rnacentral:rRNA from 1 species
UAACACGUGAGCAACCUGCCUUUCAGAGGGGGAUAACAGUUGGAAACGACUGCUAAUACCGCAUAACGCUGCGAUGGGGCAUCCCGAUGCAGCCAAAGGAGCAAUCCGCUGAAAGAUGGGCUCGCGGCCGAUUAGCUAGUUGGUGGGGCAACGGCCCACCAAGGCGACGAUCGGUAGCCGGACUGAGAGGUUGAUCGGCCACAUUGGGACUGAGACACGGCCCAGACUCCUACGGGAGGCAGCAGUGGGGGAUAUUGCACAAUGGAGGAAACUCUGAUGCAGCGACGCCGCGUGAGGGAAGACGGUCUUCGGAUUGUAAACCUCUGUCUUUGGGGAAGAAAAUGACGGUACCCAAAGAGGAAGCUCCGGCUAACUACGUGCCAGCAGCCGCGGUAAUACGUAGGGAGCGAGCGUUGUCCGGAAUUACUGGGUGUAAAGGGAGCGUAGGCGGGCGAGAAAGUUGAAUGUUAAAUCUACCGGCUUAACUGGUAGCUGCGUUCAAAACUUCUUGUCUUGAGUGAAGUAGAGGCAGGCGGAAUUCCUAGUGUAGCGGUGAAAUGCGUAGAUAUUAGGAGGAACACCAGUGGCGAAGACGGCCUGCUGGGCUUUAACUGACGCUGAGGCUCGAAAGCGUGGGGAGCAGACAGGAUUAGAUACCCUGGUAGU